rnacentral:tRNA from 1 species
GCCGGGAUGAUGGAACUGGUAGACAUGCUUGGCUUAGAACCAAGUGCCGUAUGGUGUGCAGGUUCGAGUCCUGUUCCCGGUA